GACGAACGCUGGCGGCGUGCCUAAUACAUGCAAGUAGAACGCUGAAGAGAGGAGCUUGCUCUUCUUGGAUGAGUUGCGAACGGGUGAGUAACGCGUAGGUAACCUGCCUUGUAGCGGGGGAUAACUAUUGGAAACGAUAGCUAAUACCGCAUAACAAUGGAUGACACAUGUCAUUUAUUUGAAAGGGGCAAUUGCUCCACUACAAGAUGGACCUGCGUUGUAUUAGCUAGUAGGUGAGGUAACGGCUCACCUAGGCGACGAUACAUAGCCGACCUGAGAGGGUGAUCGGCCACACUGGGACUGAGACACGGCCCAGACUCCUACGGGAGGCAGCAGUAGGGAAUCUUCGGCAAUGGGGGCAACCCUGACCGAGCAACGCCACGUGAGUGAAGAAGGUUUUCGGAUCGUAAAGCUCUGUUGUAAGUCAAGAACGAGUGUGAGAGUGGAAAGUUCACACUGUGACGGUAGCUUACCAGAAAGGGACGGCUAACUACGUGCCAGCAGCCGCGGUAAUACGUAGGUCCCGAGCGUUGUCCGGAUUUAUUGGGCGUAAAGCGAGCGCAGCGGUUUGAUAAGUCUGAAGUUAAAGGCUGUGGCUCAACCAUAGUUCGCUUUGGAAACUGUCAAACUUGAGUACAGAAGGGGAGAGUGGAAUUCCAUGUGUAGCGGUGAAAUGCGUAGAUAUAUGGAGGAACACCGGUGGCGAAAGCGGCUCUCUGGUCUGUAACUGACGCUGAGGCUCGAAAGCGUGGGGAGCGAACAGGAUUAGAUACCCUGGUAGUCCACGCCGUAAACGAUGAGUGCUAGGUGUUGGAUCCUUUCCGGGAUUCAGUGCCGCAGCUAACGCAUUAAGCACUCCGUCUGGGGAGUACGACCGCAAGGUUGAAACUCAAAGGAAUUGACGGGGGCCCGCACAAGCGGUGGAGCAUGUGGUUUAAUUCGAAGCAACGCGAAGAACCUUACCAGGUCUUGACAUCCCGAUGCUAUUUCUAGAGAUAGAAAGUUACUUCGGUACAUCGGUGACAGGUGGUGCAUGGUUGUCGUCAGCUCGUGUCGUGAGAUGUUGGGUUAAGUCCCGCAACGAGCGCAACCCCUAUUGUUAGUUGCCAUCAUUCAGUUGGGCACUCUAGCGAGACUGCCGGUAAUAAACCGGAGGAAGGUGGGGAUGACGUCAAAUCAUCAUGCCCCUUAUGACCUGGGCUACACACGUGCUACAAUGGUUGGUACAACGAGUUGCGAGUCGGUGACGGCAAGCUAAUCUCUUAAAGCCAAUCUCAGUUCGGAUUGUAGGCUGCAACUCGCCUACAUGAAGUCGGAAUCGCUAGUAAUCGCGGAUCAGCACGCCGCGGUGAAUACGUUCCCGGGCCU
rnacentral:rRNA from 1 species